rnacentral:rRNA from 1 species
AGUGAACGCUGGCGGUAGGCCUAACACAUGCAAGUCGAACGGCAGCACAGUAAGAGCUUGCUCUUACGGGUGGCGAGUGGCGGACGGGUGAGGAAUACAUCGGAAUCUACUUUUUCGUGGGGGAUAACGUAGGGAAACUUACGCUAAUACCGCAUACGACCUACGGGUGAAAGCAGGGGAUCUUCGGACCUCGCGCGAUUGAAUGAGCCGAUGUCGGAUUAGCUAGUUGGCGGGGUAAAGGCCCACCAAGGCGACGAUCCGUAGCUGGUCUGAGAGGAUGAUCAGCCACACUGGAACUGAGACACGGUCCAGACUCCUACGGGAGGCAGCAGUGGGGAAUAUUGGACAAUGGGCGCAGGCCUGAUCCAGCCAUACCGCGUGGGUGAAGAAGGCCUUCGGGUUGUAAAGCCCUUUUGUUGGGAAAGAAAAGCAGCAGGUUAAUACCCCGCUGUUCUGACGGUACCCAAAGAAUAAGCACCGGCUAACUUCGUG